CAUGUAGGCGGUUGUUUAAGUCUGAUGUGAAAGCCCUGGGCUCAACCCAGGAAGUGCAUUGGAUACUGGACAACUUGAGUACGGGAGAGGAAAGUGGAAUUUCGAGUGUAGGGGUGAAAUCCGUAGAUAUUCGAAGGAACACCAGUGGCGAAGGCGGCUUUCUGGACCGAUACUGACGCUGAGAUGCGAAAGCGUGGGGAGCAAACAG
rnacentral:rRNA from 1 species